UUAUCUUUGGUAAUACUGAGUGUGCUUAUAUACACAGCACCUACUCUUUCUAGAAAACGUCCUCCUUUGGUGCUUUUUAUACGGACGCCCUUUUGUUUAUUUACUUAUCCCAGUCCUCAAACAUGCAUGUAUUCAAACACGCACACCCUCUCCUUCCCCAGUGUCCUCCGUUUUCUCCUUUUAUCAUUAGGUUUCAUUUCUGGCCAUGUGGAAGUGAAGAGAAUUCCUGUGAUGUCAUCCCUUCACACGCCACUUGUGGCACUCGUCAGUGGUUCCUCUUUGAUAGGAUGCAAGUGCUGCAUGCAGAGAGAGGUUGCCAUUCCUCUCUCCAAGUCCCAGAGCAGAUGGUACUUAGGCAUGGCAAUCCGUGCUGCUUCAGCUGCAGAAGUACUUUCGACCUGUAUUUUCUACCCCUUUUCACCCUUGAAGACUUGGUUCAUCUCCUUUCCCCAUUUCACAGAAUAUUUUUAUAUGAGAACAUAAAAACCACACCCUUACGAUGUUAUCUUUCAACAGGUUUAAAAAUGUUAUCUUUGAAAUCAGUCCAACAGAAGAAGUUGGAGACUUUGAAGUGAAAGCCAAAUUCAUGGGAGUUCAAAUGGAGACUUUUAUGUUACAUUAUCAGGACCUGCUGCAGCUACAGUAUGAAGGAGUUGCAGUCAUGAAAUUAUUUGAUAGAGCUAAAGUAAAUGUCAACCUGCUGAUCUUCCUUCUCAACAAAAAGUUCUACGGGAAGUAAUUGAUCGUUUGCGGCCAGCCCAGAAGGAUGAAGGAAAGAAGCACCUCACAGCUCCUUUCUAGGUCCUUCUUUACUCAUUGGAAGCAAAGACCUAGCCCACAACAGCGCCUCAAUCUGAUACGCUCCCGAUGCCACAUUUUUAACUCCUCUUGCUCUGAUGGGACAUUUGUUACCCUUUUUUCAUAGUGAAAUUGUGUUUCAGGCUUAGUCUGACCUUUCUGGUUUCUUCAUUUUCUUCCAUUACUUAGGAAAGAGUGGAAACUCCACUAAAAUUUCUCUGUGUUGUUACAGUCUUAGAGGUUGCAUUACUAUAUUGUAAGCUUUGGUGUUUGUUUUAAUUAGCAAUAGGGAUGGUAGGAUUCAAAUUUGUGUCAUUUAGAAGUGGAAGCUAUUAGCACCAAUGACAUAAAUACAUACAAGACACACAACUAAAAUGUCAUGUUAUUAACAGUUAUUAGGUUGUCAUUUAAAAAUAAAGUUUCUUUAUAUUUCUGUCCCAUCAGGAAAAUUGAAGGAUAUGGGGAAUCAUUGGUUAUCUUCCAUUGUGUUUUUCUUUAUGGACAGGAGCUAAUGGAAGUGACAGUCAUAUGUUCAAAUGAAGCAUUUCUAGAAAAAAGGAGAUAUUGUUUUUAAAUUUCAUUAUCAAACUUGGGCAAUUCUGUUUGUGUAACUCCCCGACUAGUGGAUGGGAGAGUCCCAUUGAUAAAAUUCAGCUACUCAGAUAAAUUCAGAAUGGGUCAAGACACCUGCCUGUUUGUGUUGGUGCACAGAGAUUGACUUGAUUCAGAGAGACAAUUCACUCCAUCCCUAUGGCAGAGGAAUGGGUUAGCCCUAAUGUAGAAUGUCAUUGUUUUUAAAACUGUUUUAUAUCUUAAGAGUGCCUUAUUAAAGUAUAGAUGUAUGUCUUAAAAUGUGGGUGAUAGGAAUUUUAAAGAUUUAUAUAAUGCAUCAAAAGCCUUAGAAUAAGAAAAGGUUUUUUUAAAUUGGUUUAUCUGUAUAUCUGAACUCUUGAAACUUAUAGUUAAAACACUAGGAUUUAUCUGCAGUGUUGCAGAGAGAGAAUUCUGCCUUAAAUUGUCUAAAACAAAAACAAAACCAGCCAACCUAUGUUACACGUGAGAUUAAAACCAAUUUUUUUCCCAUUUUUUCUCCUUUUUUUCUCUUGCUGCCCACAUUGUGCCUUUAUUUUAUGAGCCCCAGUUUUCUGGGCUUAGUUUUAAAAAAAAAUCAAGUCUAAACAUUGAAUUUAGGAAGUUUUUGUUCUUGGAUAAAAAGUCAUAUACUUUAAAAAAAAAAAAACCUUUUCCAGGAAAAUAUAUUGAAAUCAUGCUGCUGAGCCUCUAUUUUCUUUCUUUGAUGUUUUGAUUCGGUAUUCUUUUGUCAUAAAUUUUUAGCAUUUAAAAAUUCACUGAUGUACAUUAAGCCAAUAAACUGCUUUAAUGAAUAACAAACUAUGUAGCGUGUCCCUAUUAUAAAUGCAUUGGAGAAGUAUUUUUAUGAGACUCUUUACUCAGGUGCAUGGUUACAGCCCACAGGGAGGCGUGGAGUGCCAUGGAAGGAUUCACCACUACCCAGACCUUGUUUUUUGCUGUAUUUUGGAAGACAGGUUUUUUAAAUAAACAUUUUCCUCAAAUUAAAAGAUGAUGCUAUUACAACUAGCAUUGCCUCAAAAACGGACCAACCAAAGUGUGUCAACCCUGUUUACUUAAAAGAGGCUGUGAAUCCCAAAGGCCACAUCCAAGACAGGCAAUAAUGAGCAGAGUUUACACCUCCUUUAAUAAAAUGUGUCAGUAAUUUUAAGGUUUAUAGUUCCCUCAACACAACUGCUAAUGCAGAAUAGUGUAAAAUGCACCUCAAGAAUGUUGAUGAUGAUGAUAGAGAAUUGUGGCUUUAGUAGCAUAGAGGAUGCCCCAGCAAACUCAUGGCAUUGAAACCACGCAGUUCUCAUUACUGUUAUUUAUUAGCUGUAGCAUUCUCUGUCUCCUCUCUCUCCUCCUUUGACCUUCUCCUCGACCAGCCAUCAUGACAUUUACCAUGAAUUUACUUCCUCCCAAGAGUUUGGACUGCCCAUCAGAUUGUUGCUGCACACAGUUGCCUUUGUAUCUCUGUAUGAAAUAAAAGGUCAUUUGUUC
rnacentral:sRNA from 1 species